UUUUAAUAGUAGUUUAUGCAACAAGUUGCAAAAAGAAGAUUUUUUCAGCACGAGUUGUACAUUUAUCCAACGAGGUUUACCGAGUUGGAUAAAUACGACGAGUGCUGAAAAAAUCAAGUUUUGCAACGAGUUGCUUACAACAUUUUUUGCAAUUCCGAAAAACGCUUUUUGAAUGGAAUUUUAUGUCAAACAUUCAUGUGUUUAGUAAAUUCAUCGUUCAAAACAAAACAAUAUUGAAAAAUGUUACUUUUCGAUACUAGUGCUGAAAAGUUCAACUUUUCAGCACCCAUUUCAGUGCUGAAAAGUAGAACUUUUCAGCACUGUUAUUGAAAGGUAUUAAUUUUCCAUUCUGUUAUUUUUGGUAGGGAAAAGUAGGCCGUUUCGUUUCUCCAGAAGGGCAGGAAAAGUUGACAGUUUCACAGUGGAAUUGCAAAAUAGUAGUUUAUGCAACAAGUUGCAAAAAGAGGAUUUUUUCAGCACGAGUCGUACAUUUAUCCAACGAGGUUCACCGAGUUGGAUAAAUACGAAGAGUGCUGAAAAAAUCAAGUUUUGCAACGAGUUCCAUACAACAUUUUUUGCAAUUCCGAAAAACACCCAUUGAGUGAAAUUUUAAGUCAAAUUUUCAUGUAUUUGUCAAUAAAUCGUUUAAAUCAAAACAAUGUUGAAAAGUG